rnacentral:SRP_RNA from 1 species
ACCGGGCGUGGUGCCGCGUGCUUGGAGUCCCAGCUACUAGGGAGGCUGAGGUGGGAGGAUCGCUUGAGUCCAGGAAUUCUGGGCUGCAGUGCACUAUGCCGAUCGGGUGUCCGCACGGCGUUCGGCAUCAAUAUAGUGACCUCCCGGGAGCGGGGGACUACCGGGUUGCCUAAGGAGGGGCGAACCGGCCCAGGUCGGAAACGGAGCAGGUCACAACUCCCAUGCUGGUCAGUAGUGGGAUCGUGCCUGUGAAUAGCCACUGCACUCCAGCCUGGGCAACAUAGAGAGACCCUGUCUCU